rnacentral:rRNA from 1 species
AAUUAUUUACUUUAACAUAAUAAUUAAAACAAUACCUAAAAUUAAAUCUAUUAUUAAAAAUAAUUAUUUAAUAAACAUUUUAUAUAAAAAAUACUAACUGAAAAGGGUGUAUUAAUAAAAGAAAAGAACUACAAAUUUCCUUUAGUAUCAGGAUUUUUCCAAUCCUUUUAAAAUCAAAAAUUCCCGAAAUCAUGUGAUCUAAAUAUAUUACUAAUAAUUAUUUAAAAAAUUUAAUAAAAAAAUAUUUAGAAAUUAAACGUUUUCGUACAUGAUAAUAUCUGGUAGUAAUAAAAAAAAGAAAUUUUACAAAAAUUAUUAUAGUAUAAUUUAUAAUAACCGUAAAGAAAAAAAAAAAAAAAAAAGAUUUACAGUUUCUAUAACGUAUAAAUACCCUAUUACUAAUUAAUUUAUUUUAUUAUAUAUAUUCCUAUUCUUUAAAAAUAAUGAAAAAAUUAGUAAACUAUUAAAUAAAUCUCAAAAACUCGUCUAUAUUUAAUGACUGUUUAUCAAAAACAUUUUUAUUAGUAUUUAUUAAUAAUAAAAUCUGCUCAAUGUUUUUAAAUAGCCGCAAUUAUGCUAAGGUAGCAUAAUCAUUUGUCUUUUAAUUAAAGACUAGAAUAAAAGAUUUAACACUUAAAUUAAUUUCUUUGAUUUAUUAAUUUAAAUUAUUUUUAAUGUAAAAAAACAUUAAUUUGUAAAAAAGACGAUAAGACCCUUUCGAACUUUACUUUAGUUAAACUGGGGCAGUUAAUUAAUUAUUAUUUUAAAUUAAUUUAAAAUUUAAAUGACCUAAUAUAAUUAAUUAUAUGAACAAGUUACCGUAGGGAUAACAGUGUAAUAUUAUUUUCAAGAUCUUAUUUAAAAUAAUGAUUGCAACCUCGAUGUUGACUUAAUAUCCUUAGUAACGCAAUAGUUAUUUUAGGAAGUCUGUUCGACUUUUAAAAAAUUACAUGAAUUGGGUUCAGACCGGUGUAAACCAGGUCGGUUUCUAUCUUUUUAAUUUUUAUUGUAGUACGAAAGGACCUAAUAUAAUAAUAUUAUUAAACAUAAAUUUAAACUUUAAAUUUAAUAUAAUUUAA